rnacentral:lncRNA from 1 species
ACUGCUGCGACACCUGCUGCUCCGACAGGCUCUGUGCUGUUUUGUACAUAUUGGUUUUGGACAGUGACUGCUGCAAUUUUGUCUUCAGAUUUCUUAUGGGGGAGAUUUAGCAUCUGGCAACACGGCUUCUAACUGCGAGGAGUCUCCUAACAAGCAUUGUGGUGGGUCACGUGCUGGAAUCGGGCUUCGGCGAGGGGGGAGAGAGAGGGCAUCUGUUUGGGAAAGGCGCUCCUUCCACCUGCAGGCGAGGGUGGCCGGCUUCGCCUUCCUGACCGCCUGUUGAACGGCCACCUGGAACUUGCAAACAUUACGCAGAGCUCUGGGGUCUACUGUUCUCACUCCUGCAGCCGAUUCACCAGCUCUCCCUAAACUAGACCCCACACCCACCUCUUCUCAGGUCUCCUCCUGGGCAGCCCCCGUCGGAGCCUCAGAUAGCUGCCUCGGCUGGCAGGCCCAGUUCUGCCGCCUGGUGUCGCUCCUACAUGGAGCCAUUUCCAUCCUGUUGCUGUGUCCUUGAGGAAUUCUGAAAAGGAAAUUUUUUUUUUUUUUAAGUAGCAUUUGUUUGAUUGUUUAGAGUCAAGGUCUCACUGUGUUGCCCAGGUUGGUCUCCAACUCCUGGUGACCCUCCUGUCUCAGCCUCCUGAGGUGGGACCUGGGACUAUGGAUGUGUGCUGCCGUGCCCACUGCCUGAAGUUUUGAACAAGUGGCUCUGUUACAGUUGGGAUGUGAGAUGCCCCCCUCCCCCCCCCAAAAGCUCACAUGUGAGACAAUGCAAGAAGGUUUAGGGGAGAGUGAUUGGGUUGUGAGAGUCUUAACCCAAUCCGUGGGGUGAACUGAGUGGUAACAGAAGGCUGGUGGGGUGUGGCUGGAGGAGGUGGGCAUUGGGUGUGGCUUGGGGGAAUAUAUUUGUAUCUCGUAAGUGGAGAUUUCUCUUGGCUUUCUGAUCACCAUGUGAGCUGCUUCCCUCUGCCACACUCUUCUGCCACCAUGUCCUGCCUCACCUUGAGCCCUGAGGAAUGGAGUCUGCUGUCUAUGGAUGGAGACCUCUGAAACGGUGAGCCCCUAGAUAAACUUUUCCUCCUCUACAAUUGUUCUGGUUGGGUCCUUUAGUUAAUGCUGCAAAAAAGCCGACUAAAACAGGCCUGUGAUUUCGCCUUGGGCCCACAGAUCCUGCC